rnacentral:rRNA from 1 species
UACGGGGGGGGGCAAGCGUUGUUCGGAAUUACUGGGCGUAAAGGGCUCGUAGGCGGCCAACUAAGUCAGACGUGAAAUCCCUCGCUUAACCGGGGAACUGCGUCUGAUACUGGAUGGCUUGAAUCCGGGAGAGGGAUGCGGAAUUCCAGGUGUAGCGGUGAAAAUGCGUAGAUAUCCGGAGGAACACCGGUGGCGAAGGCGGCUUCCUGGACCGACCACUGACGCUAGGCGCGAAAACUAGGGGGAGCAAACGGGG